rnacentral:tRNA from 4 species
GCGUCGGUCGUAUAGCGGCAAUUACACGAGGCUGUAAACCUCGCGCCUUCGGGCUCCGCAGGUUCGAGUCCUGCCCGACGCA